CGCCUGAAAAAAGCAAUUACUGCCCCUGCGGUUUCAAGGCUACCCCGCGCCGAACGAUGAAAGGAGAUAAGCAGAGGCCGGUUUCAAGGCCGUCCGCGCCGCGAACCUCGUUGGCCCCAGAGCAAAAGGAGAGUCAAGAGUGACUAAAUCAAAGGGAAUACGGUAAAAGGCGGGGGAAAUUACACGCCGUAUGACAUGUAGAUCUUGCAACAACAAUAAUAACAAGUUUGUGUGCGGAGAAUGAAGAAGAGCGCGUGAAAGGCAAGGAGGAUGCUGCUGCUGCAAGAGGGGGUCCCCGCUUUCCCCGAACACGCAGGGGGAAGUUUGUAUUGGACAAGGACGGCGCUUUAAACUGCUGAUGGAGGAGCCAAAAGAGAGACAAAGCUAGCUUUGUCAGCUUCCUUCCCUUCCUCACCGGCUCCUGACGAGUCCACUUGUUCUCCCUCCUUCCCACCCUCUAGCCGUCUUUCAGUUUUUCCAAUAAAAAAACGUUCUGCCUUUAA